AAUGAUUACAAUCCAACGUAAACGGUACGUGGUACUAUUCACCAAUUUAUAGGCACGGGACGCAGCCCGGAUAACAAUACAUUUAUGACCUUAACAUAUACACAUAAUCGUAACAUAAAUCACCAGGGAUCAACUAGUCUUUUCUUCUUCGGCUCGGCAUUAUGCUUGACCUUCGUUGCUAUCCUAAGUUGAAGCUGUUAUCCUUCAGUUGUAGCUUCGGCAUUCGUUGUUAUCGUUUUCAAACAAUGUCUUCGUAUCGAGGACCUUCGGCGGGGAAAAAGAUAUUCAUGACGAAGUUUUUCUUAUGACGAAGCUCCUGUAAUAUUUAAUAAUAUACUAAAAACAAAAGGUUAGUCGUACCUUUGAGGACCUUCGGAAGAGGAAGGCCCCCAACAGCCAUGAACUUGUCGGUCCCGGUCUCUCGAUGAUUGCAAAGGGAGUGGAUCACCACCGCCAUUGCCGCACCUAAACCUAGAGCCGUAGAUAAACAAGUGAGGAGUGAGGCGAGUUAAAUUUGUUAGUUGCAAGCAUUCUUCUCCAACUUUCAGAAGGUGACAUAGUUUGGAAAUCUGUCAGGUCAAUGCACAUAAGUGAAGCCCUCUAGAUGCAGAUCAAAGUCUAGAGUCAGCUGCAUGAGUAGUUAGAGGUAUACACAAGUAGCAACUCUCUAUAACAACAUGAACAAAACAUGACUAUGGUGUCUAGCAUAUAUAUCAAGUAUGAAAGAACAGACCUUAAGAACAUCCUUGCCAAGAUAAAUGAGAUCCUCCAUCCCUAAACUCGAAGGCCACAUAAACUCCUGCUCUUAAUAUAACAAAAAUAAAAAGUGAAUAUUCUUCAUAUAGAUACCAAAGAAGACAAGUGUAAUUUGAGUCAAUCAGCAGAAGGCAUUUCACUGACAACUCAUACACACCCCAUUUCCGCCCAAAUCACCAGUCAGAUGCCCCUCAAUGUUGCUCUCCAAACCUGAUUGGAACAAAUAGAACAAUAGAAGAAACAUGAACUUCAUCAACCAACCAUGGCAUGCUUGUUAGUUCAUAAACUUGUGGGCUCCACGUGGCUGAAGGUCUUGAGCAGCUUGCUGUCAUGGCUGCCAUGGUCAGACCUAGAGCGUAGAAAAUUUGACGGUUCUUCCUUUUGGCCAUUUCAUCGAACACUUUGUUUGCAUCUAUUUGUAAGCUAGAGUACAGUCAAAAGGUAUGGCAAUUGGUAAACGAAUCUUGUCAAUGUCCUCCCCAUCACGAUUGUAGAAGAGGGUGAGUUCGGGUGUUGUUUGCUCGAACCAGAGGAGAAGAGGGAGGAGAUCGAUUUUUGCUAACCCAGAAGAGCAGGGAGGGGGCAUCCGGCGGAUGAUGGGCUCUGCGACUUCUGUGCCCAACAUGCAAAGAGUGCCCAUGUCAUUACCAAAUAGAUGUGGAGCCAGCGAUGGCGAGCAGGGCGGGGCGGCAGAGAGCCGAGGCAGGUGGGGCCAUAGCCUGGAAGCACGAUGUAGUGCGCGCCAAGGCCUCAAUCGUCCAAGCAGACUGCGAGGCGGGCUUAGGGCAGCGGCGACGUUGUCCACAUGGAGGCCGAGGUCGCGACAUUGUCACCGUAGACGUGUUGCAGUGUUAUCGUGGCGUGAUUGCGGUUAG
rnacentral:lncRNA from 1 species